UACGUAGGGGGCAAGCGUUAUCCGGAAUCAUUGGGCGUAAAGAGCGUGUAGGCGGCCCGAUAAGUCCGCUGUGAAAGUCCAGGGCUCAACCCUGGGAUGCCGGUGGAUACUGUCGGGCUCGAGUCCGGAAGAGGAGUGUGGAAUUCCUGGUGUAGCGGUGAAAUGCGCAGAUAUCAGGAGGAACACCAAUGGCGAAGGCAGCACUCUGGGACGUGACUGACGCUGAGACGCGAAAGCAUGGGGAGCGAACAGG
rnacentral:rRNA from 1 species